rnacentral:rRNA from 1 species
CAAUAGCGUAUAUUUAAGUUGUUGCAGUUAAAAAGCUCGUAGUUGGAUUUCGGUUGAGAGCGACCGGUCCGCCGUUUGGUGUGCACUGGUUGGUUUUAACUUCCUGUAGAGGACGUGCUCUGGGUUUAACGACCUGGACUCGGAGUCUACGUGGUUACUUUGAAAAAAUUAGAGUGUUCAAAGCGGGCUUACGCUUGAAUAUUUCAGCAUGGAAUAACACUAUAGGACUCCUGUCCUAUUUCGUUGGUCUCGGGACGGGAGUAAUGAUUAAGAGGAACAGUUGGGGGCAUUCGUAUUUCAUUGUCAGAGGUGAAAUUCUUGGAUUUAUGAAAGACGAACUUCUGCGAAAGCAUUUGCCAAGGAUGUUUUCAUUG